rnacentral:rRNA from 1 species
GCUCAGGACGAACGCUGGCGGCGCGCCUAACACAUGCAAGUCGAACGGAGCUUAAAGAGCUUGCUUUUUAAGCUUAGUGGCGAACGGGUGAGUAACGCGUGAGUAACCUGCCCUGGAGUGGGGGACAACAGUUGGAAACGACUGCUAAUACCGCAUAAGCCCACGGCCCGGCAUCGGGCUGCGGGAAAAGGAUUUAUUCGCUUCAGGAUGGACUCGCGUCCAAUUAGCUAGUUGGUGAGGUAACGGCCCACCAAGGCGACGAUUGGUAGCCGGACUGAGAGGUUGAACGGCCACAUUGGGACUGAGACACGGCCCAGACUCCUACGGGAGGCAGCAGUA